rnacentral:rRNA from 1 species
CAAUAGCGUAUAUUAAAGUUGUUGCAGUUAAAAAGCUCGUAGUUGAAUUUCUGGUGGGCGCGCCGGUCUUCCAAGUGUUGUACUGGGCGCAGUCCGCCAUCCUUGUGGAGAGGGCUCGCAUUGAGUUGCGUGUCGGAUCUGCAUCAUUUACUGUGAAAAAAUUAGAGUGUUUAAAGCAGGCUGUCGCUUGAAUACAUUAGCAUGGAAUAAUAAGAUAGGACUUCGGUCUAUUUUGUUGGUUGCGAACCGAGGUAAUGAUUAAUAGGGAUAGUUGGGGGUAUUCAUAUUUAAUUGUCAGAGGUGAAAUUCUUGGAUUUAUGAAAGAUGAACAACUGCGAAAGCAUUUACCAAGGAUGUUUNCAUUAA